CAGGCAGGUCUCAUCUUAUUUGGAUGCCUGUUGUAAGCUUGUAAUCCGCUCUGUUGGCCACCACAGCUCCUCCAUUUGAUGACGACGGGCCAUUUGUUCCAGGCCUUUGGAAAAAACACUGAGAAAGCAUUUCAGGUAUCUGCCAUGGAAAAUACCAUCAAGUGGGACACCCGCAGCGAUCUCUGUACCCACAAAAGUCACACUUGCUAUCCUUGGUGAAUUUUCCUUAAAAACUGUGGAUGAACUUCCAGUGACUGCGUAAAUAAGACCCCCAGGAUGAAGGUCAUGUAACCUGAGCAUGCCCAGAUGAACCAAGUGUGCAAUCACAGGGGGAACCUAAGUGCCCAGACUGAGGAGCAGAGACUGAAUUAAGAAGCAGACACUGCAUGUCAGGAUCCAGGAUCCAAUCAGAUCGAGCUCUGGCAUUGCCCCACGGUCGAUAGCAGGAUCCAGUCAGAUCAUGCCUCCCAGCAUCACUUCAUUGCAAGAUCCAACCAGAUCACACCUCAUUACCCUAUGUUUAUAAAACCUGACCCAAACCCAGCUUGGGGAGACACACUGGGGCAUUUCCUCCUGUCUCCUUGCCAAAUAAAGAAUUUUUGCUCAAAA
rnacentral:lncRNA from 1 species